ensembl:miRNA oni-mir-10732 oni-mir-10732
UGAGCAAGCGUGGAGGAGGGAAACCUGCUCCUUUCUUUCCUCCUGCUCUCCUGCUUUCA